CCUACGGGUGGCAGCAGUGGGGAAUAUUGCACAAUGGGCGAAACCCUGAUGCAGCAACGCCGCGUGAAGGAAGAAGGGUUUCGGCUCGUAAACUUCUAUCAACAGGGACGAAAGCAAUGACGGUACCUGAAUAAGAAGCCCCGGCUAACUACGUGCCAGCAGCCGCGGUAAUACGUAGGGGGCAAGCGUUAUCCGGAAUUACUGGGUGUAAAGGGUGAGUAGGCGGCUUGGUAAGCUAGAGGUGAAAGCCAUGGGCUUAACCCGGGGAUUGGAUUUGAAACUAUGAAGCUAGAGUACAGGAGAGGAAAGCGGAAUUCCUAGUGUAGCGGUGGAAUGCGUAGAUAUUAGGAAGAACACCAGUGGCGAAGGCGGCUUUCUGGACUGUAACUGACGCUGAGGCACGAAAGCGUGGGGAGCGAACAGGAUUAGAUACCCCUGUAGUC
rnacentral:rRNA from 1 species